UACGGAGGAUGCGAGCGUUAUCCGGAUUUAUUGGGUUUAAAGGGUGAGCAGGCGGUUCUUCAAGUCAUGAGUGAAAGGCAGAAGCUUAACUUCUGUUGGCUGAUGAGACUGGAGAACUUGAGUACAGGAGAGGGCGGCGGAACUCCAUGUGUAGCGGUAAAAUGCGUAGAGAUAUGGAAGAACACCAGUGGCGAAGGCGGCCGCCUGGACUGAAACUGACGCUCAGGCACGAAAGCGUGGGGAGCAAACAGG
rnacentral:rRNA from 1 species